UGUAUCGCAUGUUGCUAGUUGCUAGCGCAUUCCUUGCGACCCUUGAUUUAGAUGAAAAAACGGAACGUGUAAAUAAUAACAUUGUGAUAAUGUGAAAUAAAUAGACAAAGGAUUUAUUAUGCAACUGUGUAAUGAAAUUACUUUUGCGCAUAAUUUUAUUGUAGUUAAUUAUGAUGUUUAAACAGCGUAAAAACUAUCAACGCUUAGUUCCAUAAAACGUCCGAUAGUGCAUAGCAGGCAUGUUCUUUUUCAUAUUCUUCGUUCUGCCAACGUUGACCCAACAAUAUACAAUUAAAUUGAACGGUAAAGUUGAAAUGGGAGAUCAAGUUUCGAGUUUUCUUAAAGAAAUAUACAAACAGUUUUUGAAUGGAGACAAAGUUAAAGGCGUAAGACAAAUACCGGACGUCAAGCGUGAAGAAGCGUCUGCUGACCAAACCGUAGAAAUACCCGCCAUUGAUGAAAUUAUGAGUAAAAAUGAAAUAAGUCAUUUGUACGGAGAGCAUAAGGACGAAAAACCUAUGAGAAACAACAUUAAAGUGUGAUUAGUUUCACAAAUUCAAUAUUCAUUGAUGUUUUCUUGUCUUAUUCGACAGGUUAGUGUCGAUUUUCACCACCAGCUCGAUAUUUUUACUACGAUAGAGUAUAUUUUUUUUAUAAAAGGUCUUAUAUAAUAUUUAUACUUAAUAAAAGAUACUUAAAAUGAAAAUUUUAAAAAAGACAUCGUUGUUUAAAGCUAUUAUUACUAAUGAGAGGGUUUAGAAUUUACAUAUUUUUAGGAAAAACCAUCAUAAAAAUUUGCUCAAUCAUAAAAUCUAAUAAAACCAAAGGCGUUAAAUAAUAAACGGUACUCAAUACUUAACACUUUAUUCUUUCACAAUUUCUGUGCAGUACAUUUUUUCCUAUGGUUAACUGCCGGCUAUAUAGAAUAUUAAGUAACCAUUUGCAUUAACUGAGGUGUUAAUAUUGUCUAUGGUAAUAUUAAAACACUUCAAUUUAUUAAAAAAAAAAUUAAUGAGAUGGAAGAGUUAGAGAAACAUUAUUCGAAAAUAUGGGAAACAGUAUUCAGGACUUACACAGAAAGAGUAAGUAAACAAAAGGAUUCAACGAAAAAUAUAUUUUUAUAACGAAAAUGUAUAAAUAAGAUUAACAAGAACAAGAAGUCAAAUACAAUGACACGCGUUCAGGACGCACAAACUUUUUAUCGAACAAUCUUUACUAUAUCUAAAUAAUGAAAAUGUACUCAUGGUUUCGCAACCAAUUAAUAAAAAUUUAAUUUUACAAAGUUUCGUAAUCAUAAAAAAAUCCUACCAUUUCACUAGAACAAGCCUUAGUUUAACUGCAACACUGUUUUAAUACAAGCGAUUUCAAAUCUUAUGCUUAAAGAGAUUAGAGUCGUUUUCGUUACAUAUUAAAUGCGCGCGUGUUGCCAGUGUACCUAUAUAUAUGGAAUAUUUGUGGUGCGAGUAAUACGAUCGUUAAAAAACUCCCGACUUAAAACCUAUUUAUAUGAACUAAAACGUUACACUACCGACCAAAAAAAAUAUAUACACAAACAUAACUAAUACAUCCGUAUCGUUAUGUACCGUCGCGAUGUUUCGUUCGAUUAGAACUCUGCUAGUUUUAAAUUCAAUACAUUGGCGUCGGUAGCGUAACCUAACCUAACCUAGACAAAUACAAUGAAUAGGCAAUGAAUAAUCUAAAAGUUGUAGGUCAAUAAUUAAGUCGUAGACCACGCCGCCUCUAACGUUUUAAUAAACAUUUUUAAUCAACCUCACGAUUAAUUUCUAAUGACAUAAAGAUAUUUAAGUGUUCUUGUAACCCGCGGCUUCACACCAACGUGAUGGAAAA